AUGAAAGGUGAAUCCAUUGUAGUUGAAAGUUGGAAGCUCUGUCAUGGAAAUCUGAGCUGCAGAUAUGAUGUUGCUUUUAUUUACAAUGGAGGAUUGACAAAUGUUAGAAGGAAUCAGGGACAUGCGAUAAAGGUUGGUGGUUAUAUAGAAGAGGAGUUUAAGGUAUAUAAGCGGAAGAUUGAAGGGAGUUGCGAGUUGAGGUUAAAGGUUAAAGGGAAGAGAAACAGAUGGAAGUGA